UUGUUCCAUUGUGUACCAUUUUUCAAUGGGACUCACUUGCUGAGCAGCUCUAACAAUUGCAGGUGCUUUGGCAAAUUGCAACUAUUAUUCAGGAAAUUCUAUUAUUUUCUUUUUUUGUGUAACUAAAAACAAGUCCUUGUGAUUUCACGUUGACUUCAUCCUGCUUGCUGUGCCUUUUAGAAUUGGAAAAGCAGUGUUUUCCAGCCCAGUUUUUGUAGCUCCCAUGUGUGAGUGAGAGGGUCACACCAGCCCUGCCAGGCAGCACGUGUGGGCCCAGAGCCGGGCCAGGGUGACGUGGGUCCAGCUUCCUCAGGAUGGACUACACAGUGAGGCCUGCGGCAACCAGAGAGGCAGAGGAACGACAAAAACAUCCUCUGUUACCCCUCGCGCUCUUGCCCCCCCUCUGCCUUGUCCCUCUCCAGUGCUCAAAUGCUUAUUUUCAGGAAGACCAGGCUUCCUGCGUGAUGGAGUGGUGGAUGAGAGGAGGAAGAGGGGGAUGGGACAGAGAGGAAAGGACAGACACAGAGAAAGAUGGAUAGGGAUGGGGCGAUGGUCUUUUGCACGUAGUGAUUUGGGGAAGUUUGUUUCAAUCGGCGGUUGUUUUCUUCACAGGUACGAGCAGCUGUAGAGAACAGGAGAGCAGGGAGGAUCAAUCCACAGAUCUGCGUAGAAUGGGAAUGCUUUUCUUUUUCCCAUUCUCUUGCACCUGAGAUCAGUGUUGUCCCUGUGUCAGCAAACUUACCAGGGAGUGGCCUGAUGUGCGACUGGGACAAGCUGAAGAUAAAUCGGGCAUUUUUUUGCGAUGACAAAAUAUGGAGCACAGCCAGCACGAGGCAUGGAAGCCGACAGGUGUAGGUAUUACACAAACCGACGGCUUGCUGGAGGACAGCAAUAAUCUGCUGUUGUGGUCACUCGAGCCCCGGAGGGAAGAUGAUCCUCCUCACCCUGCGAGAUUAACUGCAAAGAUGAGAUGCUUGUUAAAUGCAUUGAGAUCUAGCUGUUCCGUGCCUUCAGCCCCGGGCCGAUCUGUUUCUCAUCUGUUUAGUUACCGUAACUAAGGGACAAAACUGACUCAUUACAUUUUUGACUUAAAUGUGGUUGCUGCUGUGCAACAGGAUCGGGGUGACUACCAGCCAUCUUAGGGCCCAAGAGAGGGAUUCGUUCUGAGACAGGACAG